CCCCAAUAAUGGACGGAGUACCUCCCCUUUCUAUUGGCCUCCCCAGGCACCUGCUUCCUUCACUGGUGUCUGGAGUCAGCUCUGGCUGGAAUGAAAAUUUG